UACAGAGGGUGCAAGCGUUAAUCGGAAUUACUGGGCGUAAAGCGUGCGUAGACGGUUGCGUAAGUCAGAUGUGAAAGCCCCGGGCUCAACCUGGGAAUUGCAUUUGAGACUGCGUAGCUAGGGUGCGGAAGAGGGAAGCGGAAUUUCCGGUGUAGCGGUGAAAUGCGUAGAUAUCGGAAGGAACAUCAGUGGCGAAAGCGACUUCCUGGACCAGUACCGACGUUCAGGCACGAAAGCGUGGGGAGCAAACAGG
rnacentral:rRNA from 1 species